AAAACUCGAGCCAUGGACAUACUAAUGCGAGCUUGCUUCUUUUUAUCACUUGUGCUCUGCAGUUUGGCACAGCCAGAUUUGGAACUGUUAAAGAAUAUGACUAGAACGGAGGACUUCCUUCAGCUCAUGAGGAAAAAUGGCCGACCAGUAACCUUAUCAGAAAUCAUCAAUUCUGACGAAGCUAGGGAACAUGUUGGUGGAGAGUUGAGCAUGUCUGAUUUAGCCCAGUACGAUUACUGCUCACCUAGAUACCAAUGUGUAGUCAUACCACGAUAUACCGACCCCAACGUCAUUUACUACCCACCGUGUACUCGGGUGUUACGCUGUGGAGGGUGUGCUCCAUCUGAGGUCCUUACCUGUGCGCCCAAACAAACCAGCGUGAAGCACGUUGUGGUCUUUAAGUCAACAAUUCCAUACCCAGGCCCCUACCACUGCCGCCCCGACCCUACCGCCGCUGGUCCUGAAUUUCCCUAACGCCCCCUGUCGACCAUUGGUGCCGUGUCCAGCGGGAACCACCCCUAAAAUUUCGACCAUCAACGGGCGUUGUCAGUGCAUGCUUCAGUUCAGUUUCCCACGUCUGCCCCAGCUAAGGCGCAGACGACAAGCGCUUGAGAGAAGACGACUGUUGAGAAAUGCAGGGCGGGUGUAGAAGUUGAUGCAUGAUUUGCACUUCUAGGCUCAUUCAUGAUAAGAAUGUAAAUAAAUGAUCAAAGUAUCAUGGCAGAACAGACGUUGAGAUUAUGAUAAAAUCUUAUUUGUUGUUCAGUCUGAAUUUUGUUUUCAACAUAUUGUUCAAUUUGCACAUUGAAAAAAAGUGAUUCCAACUGUUUGUAUAUGUCAAUUUUACUCUUGUAAACUAAUAUAGUACAAUUGAAACACACUGAUAAUUCAGAAUUUUGCUUGCAAGUGUGAUAUAUAUUAUAAUCAAAUUGUUUAGAUUUUGGGAGCAGAGAUUACUUUGUUGACAAGUAAAUCGGUACAAAGCGACACAAAGUGGAGUUAUUAGGAAUUAACCUUUUGCAUAGUUCUGUUUUUGUACAAAUAAACAAUAUAACAAUGGC
rnacentral:misc_RNA from 1 species